rnacentral:lncRNA from 1 species
GAGCACCCCAAGAUCGAAGUCUCGCACAAGGAAAUGCGAAAUGCCCCCUCUAAAAACCCUUUCUCUCGGCCAGAGUAGUGCUGCGCGGCCAAAUGCUGCUACUAAACAAACUUUCAUACACAUGGAGAAGGAUUAGUGUGUAACCUAAGUGGGGUCACGGGAAGAACAACCAAUUACAUGAUGACACGAGUUAGACCAUC